CUGUGCGCCUGCACCUCAGGUCGGCAGCAGGCGUUUGCGCGUGCGCAGACGGGAGAUGCAAUUCUAUUUGAGGUCGCGCACUGCAUUCCCCCCCCCCCCCCCCGUUGCCCUGACGGCUGUGGUGUCAUCGGCGCUUGGCCGGGCUCAGCCGCCCGUCGCGGGGGUGACUCGAGUCCCUCUGCCGCCUGCCAUGCCCAUUGCUCGGCUCGCUGCUACGGAGGCGGAGCUCGCCCAGCCCUGAGGGGAGCCGCCGGCCCAGGCGAAGGCGCGGGGCAUGGCAGAGUUCCCGCCGGUGCCGCUCUCCCUGCGGGAGGAGCCCCCGGCCGCCCGCUCUGGCUCCGAGUCCGAGUCGGAGGCCGAGCUGUCGCAGAGCCUGGCCCGCACCAAGAUCCGCUCGUAUGGCAGCACGGCCAGCGUAGCGGCCCCCCUGGCGGAGCGCUACCUGGAGCAUCGCCUCAGCGCGGGCGACACGCUGCAGGGCAUCGCGCUCAAGUAUGGAGUUACGAUGGAACAAAUAAAAAGGGCAAAUAAACUAUUUACUAAUGACUGUAUAUUCCUGAGAAAAACACUGAAUAUUCCAGUUAUAUCAGAGAAGUCGUUACUGUUCAAUGGACUUAAUUCACUGGAAUCGCCUGAGAAUGAAAUUGACAUUUCUCUUUGUGGUGAAGGACCAAUGACAGUUCAGGAAGAGAAUAGUUCUUCUUCUCCCAGUCCUCAAGAACCUGACAAUCAACCUGUUGCACCCGAAGAACUAUCUGCCAAAGAUUUUCUACAUAGACUGGACUUGCAGAUUAAGUUGUCAAAACAGGCAGCCAGGAAACUAAAAGAUGAAGAUAUCAGUUUGCAGAGAUGGAAGAAAAGCAACGUUUGUUAUGUUGCUGCAUCUUGAACCAGGGAGUCUAAGAAUGGAUCUGAGGUCUGAGUAAAGAAGACAGCAACAGCAGCAGAGGAUUGGCUCCAAAAUUCCAAAAACUAUCACCUUUCUCCUGUCAGCAUGCCUCUGCUAGCAUGAUAUGCAGGCUAAUGGGACACGGCAUGUGUGCUCCAGUACCAUCAGCCAAAAGAGAAAUGUAGAGACAGCAAUGAUCUCAAGAAGCCUUUGAGGAUAUGUUGUGUGUUCCAAGAGCUGUUAACUCAAGGGCUUUGAUUAGUGUUCCUUUUACAACUGUUGGAUGCCUGGUAAAAGAGGGGUUAAAGUAUCAAAUGAAUUCAUUGUCGUGUGUUGUAAGCAAUGGCUAGCGUUCAUUAUUUGCGGGUGAGAGGCAUUUGUACAGAAAUCUGUACAGAUAUCCUGUACCUGCAGUUUGUGUUGGGCUGAGGGUGGCAGGUGCAAGUUGGGAUACACAGCACUAUAAAAAUGUUGUAAUGCUUUCUUUCCAUUUUCCUUUCCUGAUGGAGGAAAUGAGAAAGUAACUUAUCACUUGUCUUCAUUUUAGUAUAUUUAAAAAUCUGUUUAAUAAAACUUGCCAUUUUGUUUUUAAUGAAAAAAUGUGUGGUCACUAAAAUCUGUGGCAAACUUGUAUAUUAAUAUUGUGAUGUGUGUGCAAGUGUUCAUUUGGGGCACACAUCUCCCUGAAAGGUGUAAUAUAUGCAGCUUGAAUUACCUUCACCCUUUGGUAGAAGGUGUAUAUCUUAAAUCUGUCCUUGUACAGUCAUAACAUGCACUUCUGAAAAUUGUUUUUAAGAUUAAAGAUAAUUUCUGUGAUUUUGAAUGAUAUAACUGGCACAGAGUUUCUCAUUAACUAGUACUAGGGAGAAUGUGGAGCUCAGUCUUGAAAUUCCUUCUCAUGAGGAAUUCCCAUUGUCUUCAAGGAGAGCGCCAUUUAUGGGUGGAUAUAAAGCAGUGGGUCUCAAACUUUUUUUUACUGGCAACCUCUUUCACAUCGCAAGUCUUUGAGUGAGUGCAACCCCCCUAAUAAAUUAAACACCCUUUAAAUAUAUAACACCACUAUAAAUGCUGGAGGUAAGCGGGGUUUGGGGUGGAAGUUGACAGCUUGUGACCCCCCACAUAAUGACCUCGCAACCCCGGAGGGGUCCCAACCCCCAGUUUGAGAACCCCUGAUAUACAGGGGUAAGCCCUCAGUUAGUCAUCAGCAAGUUUUGAGUCUUCUUUGGGCUGACUAAAACAAGCAUUCUAAGCUUCCUGCGCUGUGCUUUUCAUAACUAUAAACAGCUCUGCUUGGAUUCAAGUCUGUAAUGACUGUUACUAAUGCUCUUAACUUGGAAAAUAAAGCUUGUCCUUGAGCUUGGUCAUGAACCAUGCACCAUAUUGGGUGCCAGUAUAUUGUUUGUUAUACCGAUAGCUACUUUGGAGGUCUGAACACACUAAUAUAUACAUAACAGAAGUGCAGAUACUAAAUAAUGGAUGUGGAGAAAAGUUUGUUGGACUAGAAGGGACUGGUGUUUCUUAUUUGAGUAUCCUACCUUUGAACAAAAUGAGAAAAUCUGCUAACAGAAAAUAAGUCGUCUUUCCAUCCUCCACUUACUCCCUCUUAUUUACCCCCUCUAAUCUGACCCAAGCACAUGUGGAACCUGCAAUUGCAGGCAGCUUCCAAUUCCCAGAGGUCUGCAGUUUUCACAAUCUGGUAGAGGUAUUGAGGGCCCUGUUACAUUGUCAGUGGUGGGAAAUGGAGUAAAGCUAUGUGGGCAUGAAAGUUAUGACUCUAGUCAUCCCUAUAUCCCUGUUCAGAGAGAUUCUUGCAGCCAAAAGCCAGACUUACCAUCUUCAGGUGGGAACACCAGGUUUGUUUGUUUUGUUUUUUUUAAUAGGAAGGACCAAAUCAUUAGGAAAGUUGUUCACAAGCUAAGUGAAUAAAAAACAGGAAAAAUCCAGGAAGUCCACAAAGCUCUUUCUAAUGCACAACCUACAACCACAAAAAAAGGAAAAUAUUACUCCCAGCCCAGUACAGUUAGAGUGUAAUAGAGCCUUCAAGACCAUUCAGUGACAUGGUGGCAUCAUCAGUUACAUCUUGUAGUGUAGGAAGCUGUUAUUUCAAUGAUUGUGUAGCCCGGGUAAGAAUUUAAGGAGAGAAUGUGUUUAGUUAAUCCAUGAGAUGAGAACCAAAGAGAUGCACAGUGGCCUUCAUAAAGAUUCCCCUUGAUAUUCAUUACAGCUGAAUCUUGUCUCCAUCAUAAGUCGUCAUUCUCCUGCAGAAUA